ACCUGGGAUUCAAAAGCUCAGUCAGUAGAGCACGAGACUCUUAAUCUCAUGUUUGUGAGCUCAAACCCCACAUUGGGCA